CAGAUUGCCUGCAAAAGAAAGAAGAGGUUAGAGAGAGGUCGGCCGGGAAGAUUAACGGACCACCGCCGGAAUCCAUCUCCAGACGAGACUCGUACCAGGAUUGAGGGGCUAUCAAGGCCUACGCACCAUCAAAGCCUAAGAACAUUUCACGGGGAACAACUCACGCACGGUCUGUGAAGAAGUUUGGCCGAGACCUCAACCCAAAAGCGGAGAUCCGAGGGUCAUCCGAGAACGGUGAGCGAACUUCCGGCGUUCUUAAAUCCUCCGAUAGUCAAGAAAAAAAUUAUAAAAAGAAUACUAGGACGUAGCCUGUAACACGAUCUAGAACGUUGCCGAAGGAAUCAUAUUGAUCCGAUCUACGGAUCGAAAGAUAUGAAAAUCGGAAAACAAAAAUCGACUGGGUUUCGGUUUUCAGAGGACAGAGAAGAA